rnacentral:rRNA from 1 species
CCUACGGGGGGCAGCAGUAGGGAAUCUUUCACAAUGGGCGAAAGCCUGAUGGAGCAACGCCGCGUGCAGGAUGAAGGCCUUCGGGUUGUAAACUGCUUUUAUAAGCGAGAAAUAUGAUGGUAACUUAUGAAUAAGGAUCGGCUAACUACGUGCCAGCAGCCGCGGUCAUACGUAGGAUCCGAGCAUUAUCCGGAGUGACUGGGUGUAAAGAGUUGCGUAGGUGGCAUAAUAAGUAGCUAGUGAAAUCUGGUGGCUCAACCAUUCAGACUAUUAGCUAAACUGUUAAGCUCGAGACCGUUAGGGGUAACUGGAAUGUCUAGUGUAGGAGUGAAAUCCGGAGAUAUUAGAAGGAACACCAAUAGCGUAGGCAGGUUGCUGGGACGGUUCUGACACUAAGGCACGAAAGCGUAGGGAGCAAACGGGAUUAGAUACCCGUGUAGUC